rnacentral:lncRNA from 1 species
AAAGACAAUUGAAGGAUUAGUAACGUCAACUAUUUAUUAUGAUACUAAAUCGGGGACAUCCCACCAGCGUCAGGUCAAAUUUCUUAUAUCGUGACGAAAAGAAUACUUAGUGCAGAACCACUGAUACCUUUCUGAAUUGAAGUGCAGCAAUGAACUACAUUGGAAAUUACACCAGUAUUCGAAGAUGACAACUUACUAGUGCUGACUUUUAACAAAUGUAUUAGCAAAGUAAUUUAUGGAAAUGUUACAUUGUAUAAGAAACAUUUAUUUGUAAAAGAUUAUACUUUGUCAUUGUGAUAAAACAAAAGAAUCAUAUUUUGAUACUAUUAACUGGAUUGGAGGGUACAAUGUUGUACAAGUAUGUGUCAUUUGUCAUUUGUUUUCCAUGGUUAAGCGGGAGAUAAUAGUUGUAUAUUUUAUCUAAUAUAAAUUGGAAUUACUUGAUACUGAUGGUUAAUCCAUUGUAAAUAAUCUUAUUUCUGAUCCAGUUGACAGUACAUGUUAGAUCAUUAAAAAAUAGUUGGCUAUUAUAAAAUUUUUACAAUAUUA